rnacentral:rRNA from 1 species
UUGAUCCUGGCUCAGAGCGAACGUUAGCGGCGCGCCUAACACAUGCAAGUCGCACGAGAAAGGGGGCAACCCCCGGUACAGUGGCGCACGGGUGAGUAACACGUGGAUUACCUUCCCUGGAGUGGUGGAUAACCUGCCGAAAGGUGGGCUAAUACAGCAUGAGACCACGCACUUUCGAGUGUGAGGUCAAAGCGGGCUUCUGUUUACAUGCUCGCGCUCUAGGAUGGGGUCCGCGGCCCCAUCAGCUAGUUGGUAGGGUAACGGCCUACCAAGGCAACGACGGGUAGCUGGUCUGAGAGGAUGACCAGCCACACUGGAACUGAGACACGGUCCAGACUCCUACGGGAGGCAGCAGUGGGGAAUCUUGCGCAAUGGGCGAAAGCCUGACGCAGCGACGCCGCGUGGGUGACGAAGGCCUUCGGUUGUAAGCCCUGUCGGGGGGAGACGGAACCGGGUCGGUGGCGUAAUAUCCACGGUCCUUGACGGUAUCCCUUUAGCAAGCAUCGGCUAAUACGUGCCAGCAGCCG